ACUCUUGAGAUGGGCAUAUGCUGCUCUCCCCCAGUUCGUCGCGCCUCGAUCUGCCGCUCUCUCGUCCGCCUUUCCCAGAAGGAGUCCACCUCCACCUGGUCCUCCGCCUCCGUGGUGGCGCGAAGAAGAAGCUCGGCUGAGGUGCAGUAACGAAGCCCUCAAGAAGAGAUGGAAGAGAAAAGAAGGGCUCAGGUGCACUUUAAGCUACCUCAUACGAUUGCCUAUUUGGUGCCUAUUUUUUUAGUUUGUCACUUUAAUAAUUCUGAUGGUAGCGGUCAUUCUUCAUUUUUCACUAAAUCUCUAUUGCAGAUUACUUUCAUGAGGAAGAAGGAUUUCAGGAAAGAGCAACUAGUUCUUGAGGACUUAGUGCUAGAAUACAUAGUAUGAUAGAUUUU
rnacentral:lncRNA from 1 species